GUAUUUAGGUCUUAUUUUUUUACACCAACAAUUUUUUUGUUAUGUUAGUCGUAGUUUUUCACAUAGUCAAAAAUAAAAUCAACAAACAACAAAGAAUAACUAACGCAAUAUAAAAUUUCUGGUGUAAAAAAUAAGAACUAAAUGCCAAGAAUACUGUAUACAAUAACAAAAACCGGAUGUAAACAACAAACAACAUCGAUUAUCAAUUAUCAACUGAUAUAAAAACAAACCGUAAACAAGCUAAGCCGGCAGUAUAGUUAUAACUACAAGCCUGUAACUAUCACUCUGAAGAUGGACUCUGCAACGAAUCCGAAACGUCACCUUAUAACUGAGAACGUGGAUACAUCUGUAAACAUUUCAAGUAAUACUACAAUCUACAAAAGGUAUUCAAGAUCGUACUAUUUGUUUUGAUGUUCACGGAAUUCAUACAGGAAGUUGAAUAAUAAGAGCUUAUCAAGGAGGUUGAUAUAUUCCCGUUUAUAUUAUCGAAUUAUAUAUACUUGGAAUUCUUUAUUAUCUUUUUCAAAGAACAUCGUCUUCAGAAAGAAACUCAAAAUGAGUCACCAUUGGCUGGAAAAAAUCAGUAACUAAUAUAUCGAUUGCAUAAAAAUAUGACAUAGGAAAUGUUUGAUACGUAAUGCUCAAUCAACACACGAGUGGAAUGGCUUAUUCAGUCAAAUAUUGAAACCAGUCAAAUGAAAAGCUUAAUCUUAAAAUGAGAUUUACGAACGUUUGUUUUUGAUUUUAUACACAAGUACUUUGUAUACAAUUAUCAUUGCAAAAUAACUUUUACUAUUGUUAAUGUCAUAAUAUAAUUUACACUUUUUUUUUGUAUAUUUCAAUUUAUAAGUAUAAUCAAUGUAAACAUUUACAAAACAUAUUUCUUUACAAUAGUAAAGUUGUUACAUUAUUGAGCGCAAUAAGCCUAUAACUUAAGAAAACUUGACGUACCACAUAAAUUUAUUACUUUUUAAUUGUUCUUUGUUUUUUUUUAUUUAGAAUAACUUAAGGCAAGAUGAUUUAUUAACAAUAUUUUAUUUAGAUUUUAAAAUAUGCUCAAACUUUUUAGUGUUCAUCAAUUUAGUAAUGAUUAGAGUAAAUUAAUAAACACUAAACAGUUUGUCUAUAAUUUAAAAUCAAAAUACCUUAUUGAUAACAAUUAAUUUCUCCCUAUGGGCCAUCUUUUCCCAGAUACUGUAACGAAUAUUCGUAUAACUAAAUUUCUUUAUUUUCAAGUGCAAAAGUUAUUUUGUUACCUUGUUAAAUAUUUUGCCAUUAAAAUGUGUGAAUAAUUUUAAAUGUCACUCAUACAAUAGUAUCGCGUCUAUAUAGCUGUUGAAAUUUUGAAUUAAACACACAUUAAUUUAAACGUUUUUUUUUUUUAAACUAACUUCUUGGAAAUUCAAAGUGAUAAUAAACUUGUAAACAUUAACAAUAAUAAAUAGUUUUUAAGACAACUCAAAUAUUAUAAACUCAAAUAAUAUUUUCUUAUUAUGUUUUUAAAUUUUUACAAGUUUACAUUCCUUGAGAAUGUUAAUACCAACAACGAAAAAUAAAAUAAGUGAAACCAGCCAAAACAGUGAAAAAGUUUUUGGUUGUUUUUUUAAAGAAAAAUGUAACAUUUCAGGAUGAAAUAAUUCAUCAUCAUUUAUUAGGGACAAAAUAUUUUUUUUUAGUUUCUUUUCAUUCUGAAACUUACAAAUCACUUUUGUAUAUAAUGACAAAAAAAAAAAUAAUAAUAAUAAUAAUAACAACAGUGAAAUUGAAAAUUUUUUCAUCAAUGUAUUUUUAGAUUAUAUUUUAUUAUACUUCACAUUAAGCCUUAUGUACAAUUAUUGAGAUAAUGAAAUUAUAAAAAUACAUAUUAUUUAUGAAUGAUAAUGGUAUUCCAAAAAAUAGUUUUUAUUUUAAUUAAUUGAAAAAUAAAUCGAGUUUUUUUUUGUAUGGUUUAUUUCUUAAUUUU